rnacentral:rRNA from 1 species
UGAGCUAAACGCGCAUAUGGUGUAUUCGCGUGCGUCGCAUAGCACGUAUUAAAUGCGCGUUUAGGGGUGAUAGGCUUUUCAAACAUUCGUAUAACUUGUUUCAUAUGAAAAGUAUUUAGUACCUAAACAAAUUUGAAAAGUUAAGCUUUUAAAUUAUUAUUAAAGAUAUUAUUCCCUUGUAGUGUAGUUUAAUAGCUAUCUACAUAGUAACUUAACAUUAAGUAUGUUAGUUUAUAUAUUAUAGUAUGACUUUAACAAUUUUGUUAAUAAAUUGAAAAUGUUAGUAUUAGUAAUAUUAGUAUGUGUGCUAAAGGAACUCGGCAAAAAACCGCUCAACUGUUUAUCAAAAACAUAGCUAUAUGAAUUAGUAUAUAGUUGUUUCUGCUCAAUGACUUAAAUAGCCGCAGUACUCUGACUGUGCAAAGGUAGCAUAAUCAGUUGGCUUUUAAUUAAAGUCUGGUAUGAACGAAAAUAUGGGUAGUAACUGUCUUAGCACAUUUCUUUGAACUUGUUAAACAAGUGCAAAUGCUUGUAAUUAAACAAUAGACGAGAAGACCCUAGAAACUUGGACAUAUUUUUGUUGGGGCGACAGAAUUACAUUUAACUAAUCUUCUAAUACACGACGCGAUGCUGAAAGAAUAAGUUACUCUAGGGAUAACAGCAUAAUUUCAUUAGUUUGUGACCUCGAUGUUGGACUAGGUACUAUACCCUUAAGGCAAGGAUAUAUUGUGCUCUGUUCGAGCAAAAUUACCUACAUGAUCUGAGUUCAGAC